rnacentral:rRNA from 1 species
UAUGUGAUCGUCUCUCGCAUAUCAAUAAGCGGAGGAAAAGAGGGCCAUUACCUACGCUUAGGAUGUUGACACACGCGCGUGCUCGAUGAUAGUCUAUACAUGACUCUGUGCAUAUCAAAAGCGGAGGAAAAGCUGUUACCUACGCUUAGGAUGUUGACACACGCGCGUGCUCGGCUCUAUACAUGACUCUGCGCAUAUCAAUAAGCGGAGGAAAAGGCCGCGGAACUGAACGACCGCUACCUACGCUUAGGAUGUUGACACACGCGCGUGCUCGUUAUCUCUGUAGAGUCUGCAUAUCAAUAAGCGGAGGAAAAGAAACUAACUAGGAUUCCCUUAGUAACGGCAAGUGAAGCGGGAAGAGCUCAAAUUUGAAAUCUUCAAGGUUUUACCUUGACGAAUUGUAGUUUAAAGAAGUGUUUUCUGUUGGUGUUUUGGUAAAAGUUCUUUGGAAUAGGACAUCAUAGAGGGUGAGAAUCCCGUAUUUGACCAUUACUUCCAGCGUUGUGAUACACUUUCAAAGAGUCGGAUUGUUUGGGAAUGCAGUCCAAAAUGGGUGGUAAAUUUCAUCUAAAGCUAAAUAUUGGCGAGAGACCGAUAGCGAACAAGUACCGUGAGGGAAAGAUGAAAAGAACUUUGAAAAGAGAGUUAAACAGUACGUGAAAUUGUCAAAAGGGAAGCGUUCGACACCAGUGUUGUUUUCUCGAAAAUCAAUUAAAAAAAGUUGGAUUUUGUAUUGUUAAGACCUUAUCAGCUUACUGUACUCUUUUCUUGCUUUUUUUAAUGCACUUUUCGUUUAACAAGUCAACAUCAAUUUCUUUUGUUGUAAAAGAGUCAUUGGAAGGUGGCUUUCACUUCGGUGAAAGUGUUUAUAGCCUUUGGCUUCUGCAAUCGGAGAGAUUGAGGUCUGCAGCGUAGAUCCUUCGGGGCUAGAUACGUAGAUGCUAAGUUAUAGUUUUUUAUAGACAACUUGUUGACUAUAAUUAAUCAUGUAGCUUACUCGUUUGCGCUAUUUUACCUACGCUUAGGAUGUUGAUAGUCACAGCGUGUAC